CCUACGGGAGGCAGCAGUAGGGAAUCUUCGGCAAUGGACGAAAGUCUGACCGAGCAACGCCGCGUGAGUGAAGACGGUUUUCGGAUCGUAAAACUCUGUUGGUAGAGAAGAACGUUGGUGAGAGUGGAAAGCUCAUCAAGUGACGGUAACUACACAGAAAGCGACGGCAAACUACGUGCCAGCAGCCGCGGUAAUACGUAGGUCCUGAGCGUUGUCGGGUUUAAUUGGGUGUAAAGCGGGCGCAGGUGGUUUAUUAAGUCUGGGGUAAAAGGCAGUGGCUAAACCAUUGUAUGCAUUGGAGACUGGUAGACUUGAGUGCAGGAGAGGAAGGUGGAAUUCCAGGUGUAGCGGUGAAAUGCGUAGAUA
rnacentral:rRNA from 1 species